GAGAGUUAAACAGUACGUGAAAUUGUUGAAAGGGAAACGAUUGAAGUCAGUCAUACUAACGGGAAAUCAACCUCUUGAGUUUGGUCUCGUGGCUUUCGAAGAGUUUUAAAAGCCUUCGGAUUUUCGAGAUUGGGCUCUUCUGGUGUACUUUCUCGUACGGUUAGUCAACAUCGGUUUUGAAUAUCAUAAAAUGACUGGAGGAAUGUGGCUUCGAUCUCGUAUUGAAGUGUUAUAGCCUUUGGUAGAUGUGAUGUUUGAGACCGAGGAUUGCAACGGAUACCCUUCUGGGCUAUUCGUCUGAUCUCUGAAACGUUGCCUUGAUGUCGAAAGCUUGCUUAUGAUGUUAGGGUAUUACGGUCAAAAGGUUAGAACGGAUUAAAUUCGUUAAGGAUGUUGACGUAAUGACUUUAAACGA
rnacentral:rRNA from 1 species